GAUGAACGCUGGCGGCGUGCCUAAUACAUGCAAGUCGAGCGAACAGACGAGGAGCUUGCUCCUCUGACGUUAGCGGCGGACGGGUGAGUAACACGUGGAUAACCUACCUAUAAGACUGGGAUAACUUCGGGAAACCGGAGCUAAUACCGGAUAAUAUAUUGAACCGCAUGGUUCAAUAGUGAAAGACGGUUUUGCUGUCACUUAUAGAUGUAUCCGCGCCGCAUUAGCUAGUUGGUAAGGUAACGGCUUACCAAGGCAACGAUGCGUAGCCGACCUGAGAGGGUGAUCGGCCAAACGGGAAAUGAGACACGGACCAGACUCCUACGGGAGGCAGCAGUAGGGAAUCUUCCGCAAUGGGCGAAAGCCUGACGGAGCAACGCCGAGUGAGUGAUGAAGGUCUUCGGAUCGUAAAACUCUGUUAUUAGGGAAGAACAAAUGUGUAAGUAAAUAUGCACGUAUUGACGGUACCUAAUCAGAAAGCCACGGCUAACUACGUG
rnacentral:rRNA from 1 species